UGUGUCUCACAGAACAACGAAGUCAGCACGGGAGAAACGGCCAGAAGCUGUCCCCGCGCGUGUAUUUGAGGGCGCUGAAGAGGAUGCUCCUGUUGCUGAGGAUACUGUGUCCCUGGGACAGUCCACGGGCUUGGAAGCGAGUAGCGAUGACGGGGAGGGGCUCGAGGGCCACAGGACUGAACCCGCCGCAGACCUUCCAGACGUUCUGACGGAGCAGCAACAGGCAACUGAGGAACUGUCUUCGGAGGAGGGAAGAGAAAGUGUUUCUAUUGCACUUAUCAAAGAAAUGUGUGCGAAAUGGGUUGAACUGCAAAUUUUUGUUGAAAAACAUCACCCUGAUGAAGCUGCUGCAAGUCAUGCCCCUGACACUGUCAGUGAUAAUGCUGUGUCUCACUUUAGACAAAUUUCAAAACAUCAGAAAAAGCAAAUGUCAAUUGAAAAGUUUUUAGUGAGGCAAAGAUCCAGUGAGUCUGAACCAGGUGUCAGUGGCGUAAAGAAAUCAAGGGCAGGAAUGGCAGGAGAGGAGCCACCUACAGUGAUUCUGGAAGAGGCCACAGAACACCUGAGGAAAGGUCAGCUAUUGUGACUAUUGAAGGGACCCCCAUCCAAACCAUGACUAUCAUCAUUGCAGAUCGGCCUCUGCCUCCUUCUCACGAGGAUACUGGUGAUUACACUUGGGGUUUGCCAGGGGAGUCCCCCCGCCUGAAGGUCCUUAGCUUUAAGCACAUCUGCAAAGCCCCUUUUGCUAUAUAAUAUUUACAGGUUUCAUGGACUAAGACCUGGGAUUUUCGGAGGCCAUUCCUCAGCCUACCACAGAACUUCUCCAUGUACUCAGAACGCCCCAGGAGCUCCACAAAAUCUUCAUCAUGAGUGAUUAUCAGAAGCUGGAAGUUACGUUGCU